rnacentral:lncRNA from 1 species
GACAAAACCGUGAGGGCACCAGUCUCCACCCGUCAGCGUUGGACGUGCGGGCCGAAGCGCCCAAAGCGGACAAUACCUCGGGAGGAACGCAGUCCUCUUUCUCUGCUAGCUUAAUGUGGGCUAUGCUGUUGUGUGAGGUUUCGGCCAAAGGCCGUCCCCGCAACAGAUGGCGCGCCAGGUAGCGGCGCCUCCUCUCUCCAUUGACUACCCCUCAGGUUGCCUGGGGGGCUGUCGUGGGUAAAAUCCGACACAGGAUCUUCCCGCUGGGGGGCUAUGUUGUGAANNNNNNNNNNNNNNNNNNNNAGAUGGUGCGCCAGGUAGCGGCGCCUCCUCUCUCCAUUGACUACCCCUCAGGUUGCCUGGGGGGCUGUCGUGGGUAAAAUCCGACACAGGAUCUUCCCGCUGGGGGGCUAUGUUGUGAAGGGGGGAGGGGCCUUGAAUUUAGUCCCACAUCUGCUAGUAGCGGAAAGAUUCUGUGCCUUAAAUGGGGGGUGGAAAUUCUUUCCUCUCGAGGGCCCUUUUGUGGGACAAAAUCGUGAGGGCACCAGUCUCCCCCCGUCUGCGCUGGACGCGCGGGCCGGAGCGCCCAAAGCAGACAAUACCUCGGGAGGAACGCAGUCCUCU